rnacentral:lncRNA from 1 species
UAAGGUCCUUCACCAUCCCUUACAUUGUGACCUGACUGGUCACCAUCUGGUUCGUUGUUGUCCCAGGAUGAUAAGCCCUUGAAAUCCACGAGCUGGAGUUAGACGGUUGGCAUCCUCAGAAUUAUAGCCCUCCCUACCAGGCGAGUUGGAGCUAUAACCGGCCGCUUCACGGGCAACGCAAGUUAAGUUCUGUUGCCUCUCUACUUCCACCACGGAAGCUCGG